rnacentral:rRNA from 1 species
UACGAAGGGGGCUAGCGUUGCUCGGAAUUACUGGGCGUAAAGCGCACGUAGGCGGCUUUCUAAGUCGGGGGUGAAAUCCUGGAGCUCAACUCCAGAACUGCCUUCGAUACUGGAGAGCUUGAGUCCGGGAGAGGUGAGUGGAACUGCGAGUGUAGAGGUGAAAUUCGUAGAUAUUCGCAAGAACACCGGUGGCGAAGGCGGCUCACUGGCCCGGUACUGACGCUGAGGUGCGAAAGCGUGGGGAGCAAACAGG